ACUACGGGAGGCAGCAGUGGGGAAUAUUCCACAAUGGGGGAAACCUUGAUGCAGCGACGCCGCGUGAGUGAAGAAGUAUUUCGGUACGUAAAGCUCUAUCAGCAGGGAAGAAAAUGACGGUACCGGACUAAGAAGCCCCGGCUAACUACGUGCCAGCAGCCGCGGUAAUACGUAGGGCGCAAGCGUUAUCCGGUUAUACUGGGUGUAAAGGGAGCGUAGACGGCAGCGCAAGUCUGGAGGGAAAUCCCAUGGCUUAACCAUGGAACUGCUUUGGAAACUGUGCAGCGAGAGUGAAGGAGAGGUAAGCGGAAUUCCAAGUGAAGCGGUGAAAUGCGUAGAUAUUAGGAGGAACACCAGAGGCGAAGGCAGCUUACUGGGCUGAAACUGACGUUGAGGCUCGAAAGCGUGGGGAGCAAACAGGAUUAGAUACCCGAGUAGUC
rnacentral:rRNA from 1 species